AUGGUGUGUAAGAAGGAAUUCUCUAUCAGCAUCAAAGUCACUUCUUUGGAGGAUGGAAGGGAGUGGAUGGCUGCUUCUAUUUAUGGGCCACAGGAAAAUGAGGACAAAGUCAGAUUCCUGGAGGAGAUUGUGGAAAUUGGGGGGCAUGUUCAACUGCCAUGGAUCCUGAAUGGUGACUUCAAUCUGGUGUGUAAUGAAGAUGAGCGAAGUACAAGAAGAAUCAACAGAAGACUGUCAAAUAAAUUUAGACAUACGAUCAACACCUUGGGCCUGCAUGACAUGCCGCUGGUGGGGAGGAAAUUCACCUGGUGUAAUGAUCAGGAGCGCUCAGUAAUGGCAAGAUUGGAUAGGGUGUUGUUAAAUAGUGACUGGGAAGACACUUACCCCAUCAGUGACUUGAUACCGCUCAGUUCCAACAUAUCGGAUCAUUGCCCCCAUCUCCUGACCUGCUCUAGGGAUAUGCCAAGACAGCGUCGCUUUCGUUUCGAGAAUUUUUGGGUUAAGCUGCCGGGUUUUAUGGAAACGGUGAAGGCGGCCUGGGAGGAACAAGUCUCUAGUAAUGACCCCAUGAAGAUUUUCAGUGUGAAACUGCAGCGCACCGCGAAGGCUCUCAAAAGUUGGGGUCAAAGGAAACAGAGCCAUAUGACCACCCUUUUUUAG
rnacentral:rRNA from 1 species